AGAAGUAGACAUUGAAAGCAUGGAGUUUACACCAGGGGAAAUGGACAGUAUCGGAAGUGCCAGUGAUGUGGAAGACCACUACAGUUUGCAAAGUGGCUCCAGUGAUGGGAGUUUUACACAUUCCCUGAGACUCAAUUCCAGGUUGUCAUAGUGGUCAAAAUACUGAACCAACUCAGGACCAUCCAGCUGAAGGCACUUAAGAGAAAACAAAUGAAUACAAAAAAACUUAAAAAAAAAAAAAGAAUACCAAGUCACAAAUAUGCCAACCUCCGCUCAGCUUGAUUCUCAAUUUAAAAAAAUGAACUCCUGUCAUUGUUUGUCCCCUCAAAGACACCAACUCGGGCUGCACUUUGACAAUGAGGGGACAAUAUGAAAUCAAAGUUUUAAAAUUAUUUACAGAAGAAGGUUAAAACGCAAUGAAACCCAUUUUGUUUUAAGCAUAUCAUUCCAUUAUUAAGUAUUACAUGGAAACACAGGAAAGUGCAAGUCAGAUAUCUUUCAUUAUCCAACAACAGGUUAGUUUUGAAAAUGAAGAAGAAUUUAUACGCCUGGCAAUUUUCAUAGUAAAUAACCCUAAUUUUUUUUUUUUUUUUUGUGAACAGAUAAAGUGCUGAAUUUGGGAACGUCUAUAUUUUUUAGCAUUAUGUUCUGGGGAGAGAAGGAGAGAAAUAUUGUAGGAUUUUUUUUAUAUCUGAAGUUGAUCUUCGGUAGGAGAGCUCAAAAAAGUCUGUACUGUACAAGGGUUUGGGAUAAAGGCCUACUCUAUAUAUGACUUCAAAUGAC